GACGAACGCUGGCGGCGUGCCUAAUACAUGCAAGUAGGACGCAGUUGCGAACGGGUGAGUAACGCGUAGGUAACUACCUAUUAGAGGGGGAUAACUAUUGGAAACGAUAGCUAAUACCGCAUACUAGUAGAUGGACCUGCGUUGUAUUAGCUAGUAGGUAGGGUAAUGGCCUACCUAGGCAACGAUACAUCGCCGACCUGGGAGGGUGAUCGGACACACUGGGACUGAGACACGUCCCAGACUCCUGCGGGAGGCAGCAGUAGGGAAACUGCGGCAAUUGGGGGAACUCUGACCGGGCAAGGCGGCGUGAGUGAAGAAGGGUUUCGGAUCGUAAAGCUCUGUGGUGAAGGAAGCGGGACUUAACCAGAAAGGGACGGCUAACUACGGGCCAGCAGCCGCGGUAAUUC
rnacentral:rRNA from 1 species